AUGAAUGAAUGUAACAAUACCUAUUGUUUCCCAGGUAUUAAAUGCAGUGUUCAGCUGGAACAAUCUGGAAGUUAUAUGAAAAGCCCUGGAGACUCCCUCUCUAUUUCCUGCAAAGGGUCCGGUUUUAACUUUGGAAGCUAUGGCAUGCAUUGGGUGAGACAAGCUCCAGGAAAAAGAAAGGAAUGGAUUGCAGUUAUUUGGUAUGAUGCCAGUAAGCAAGAAUACACAGAAUCUGUCAAGGGACGCUUCACCAUCUCCAGGGACAAUGCCAAAAGUCUUGUGUAUCUGCAAAUGAACAGCCUCAAACCAGAGGACACGGCUGUCUAUUACUGUACGAGAUACACAGUGAGAGGAAGUGAAUCUGAAGCCUAUCAAGAACUUUCUCGCUCUCUGAGCAGUUCUCCAAAUUGA